rnacentral:rRNA from 1 species
GACAACGCUGGCGGCGUGCUUAAUACAUGCAAGUCGAGCGGUGAACCCGACUGAAAGCCUUCGGGCUUGACGUUGGGGGAUCAGCGGCGGAUGGGUGAGUAACGCGUGGGUACCUGCCCUAAAGUCUGGGAUAACAACUCGAAAGGGUUGCUAAUACCGGAUGUGACCGAGAGGUUAAAGGCAGAGAUGUCGCUUUAGGAUGGGCCCGCGUCCCAUUAGCUAGUUGGUGAGGUAAGGGCUCACCAAGGCUGCGAGUGGGUAGCCGGCCUGAGGAGGGUGGACGGCCACACGUGGGACUGAGACACCGGCCCAGACUCCGUACGGGGAGGCAGCAGGUAAGGGUAAUUUUCCGCAAUGGACGGAAGUCUGGACGGGGCGACGCCGCGUGGGGGAAGAAGGCCUUCGGGUUGUAAACCUCUGUCUUCAGGGACGAAGAGGGUGUGGGAGACACACCGAAGCCGGUACCUGAGGAGGAAGCCCCGGCUAACUACGUG